AGUCAGUGCUUAAAUAUUUGUGGCAUCAUCAGGAUGCCAUUUUGUGCUGUUCUUUGAAGGUAUGGCAGAUGUUUUGUUCAUAGUAGAGUUCAUCAUUUCCAUGAAAGCCUUUAAUUUAAGAUAUAUAUGAUUCUCUGUCUGGAUCGUAGUCGGUGCCGGUGUUCAUCUUUGCAAACCAGGUUGGCCUUGACAUGUUGGAAACAACUUUGGUGGCUUUACAAGACAUCACAUGGGUAUUUAGAGGAAGUGCCUUGUAUUAACUCCAUCUUGUGAAGGCAGAGAAAGCUAGAAGAUACAUUCCAAAAGAAUUCAAAUAGGUUGAAGCUUUUGGGGGGCCAAUAUUCUUGUAGAUAAUAAAGGUUGCAUUAAACUUGCAGAUUUUGGGGCCUCCAAACAAGUUGAGCUGGCUGCAGAGGCUUGGAUUGAUGUUGAAAAAGUUCAUACAAUUGCAUUAGGAGCCAAGAAGAACUACUAUCAUGA